GAUGAACGCUAGCGGCAGGCUUAACACAUGCAAGUCGAGGGGCAGCACGGGUAGCAAUACCUGGUGGCGACCGGCGCAAGGGUGCGUAACGCGUGAGCAACAUGCCCUAUACAGGGGGAUAAUCCAGGGAAACUUGGUCUAAUAUCCCAUAGCAUUUAGAGGAGGCAUCUUCACUAAAUUAAAGCUUCGGUGGUAUAGGAUUGGCUCGCGUGACAUUAGCUAGAUGGUGAGGUAACGGCCCACCAUGGCUAUGAUGUCUAGGGGUUCUGAGAGGAAGACCCCCCACACUGGGACUGAGACACGGCCCAGACUCCUACGGGAGGCAGCAGUGAGGAAUAUUGGACAAUGGAUGGAAAUCUGAUCCAGCCAUGCCGCGUGCAGGAAGACGGCCCUAUGGGUUGUAAACUGCUUUUAUAUGGGAGCAAUAAGGUUUACGAGUAGACCGAUGAGAGUACCAUAUGAAUAAGCAUCGGCUAA
rnacentral:rRNA from 1 species